AGAGUUUGAUCCUGGCUCAGGAUGAACGCUAGCGGCAGGCUUAACACAUGCAAGUCGAGGGGUAACAGGGAAAGCUUGCUUUCCGCUGACGACCGGCGAACGGGUGCGUAACACGUAUGCAACCUACCCUUUACAGGAAGAUAGCCCAGAGAAAUCUGGAUUAAUAUUCCAUAUUAUCGGACCAUGGCAUCAUGGACCGAUGAAAGCUCCGGCGGUAAGGGAUGGGCAUGCGGCCUAUUAGCUUGUUGGUGAGGUAACGGCUCACCAAGGCUGCGAUAGGUAGGGGGUCUGAGAGGAUUAUCCCCCACACUGGUACUGAGACACGGACCAGACUCCUACGGGAGGCAGCAGUGAGGAAUAUUGCGCAAUGGAGGAAACUCUGACGCAGCCAUGCCGCGUGCAGGAAGACAGCCCUACGGGUUGUAAACUGCUUUUAUUUGGGAAGAAACCCCCUUACGUGUAAGGGGCUGACGGUACCAUUUGAAUAAGGACCGGCUAACUCCGUGCCAGCAGCCGCGGUAAUACGGAGGGUCCAAGCGUUAUCCGGAUUUAUUGGGUUUAAAGGGUUCGUAGGCGGGAUAUUAAGUCAGUGGUGAAAUCCUACAGCUUAACUGUAGAACUGCCAUUGAUACUGAUAUUCUUGAAUUCACCUGAAGUAGGCGGAACAUGACAUGUAGCGGUGAAAUGCUUAGAUAUGUC
rnacentral:rRNA from 1 species